rnacentral:rRNA from 1 species
UACGUAGGGUGCGAGCGUUGUCCGGAAUUAUUGGGCGUAAAGGGCUCGUAGGCGGUCUGUCACGUCGGGAGUGAAAACACGGGGCUUAACCCCGUGCCUGCUUCCGAUACGGGCAGACUAGAGGUAUGCAGGGGAGAACGGAAUUCCUGGUGUAGCGGUGAAAUGCGCGGAUAUCAGGAGGAACACCGGUGGCGAAGGCGGUUCUCUGGGCCUGUACUGACGCUGAGGAGCGAAAGCGUGGGGAGCGAACAGG